AUAUUAGAAGAUAUUAUUGUUGUUGUUUUUUUUUUCUGUGAAGCUAAGCAGGGCUGAGCCUGGCCAGUACCUGGAUGGGAGACCACAUGGGAACACUAGGUUGCUGUUGGA
rnacentral:rRNA from 1 species